UACGGGAUAACAUAUUUGAGAGGCAUCUCUUAAAUAUCAAAGGUGAGCCAGUACAGGAUGGACCCGCGUCUGAUUAGCUAGUUGGUAAGGUAAUGGCUUACCAAGGCGACGAUCAGUAGCCGACCUGCGAGGGUGAUCGGCCACAUUGGAACUGAGACACGGUCCAAACUCCUACGGGAGGCAGCAGUGGGGAAUAUUGCACAAUGGGCGAAAGCCUGAUG
rnacentral:rRNA from 1 species